rnacentral:other from 1 species
UGUCCCCUGCGGUGUUUGUCAAGACUAUUGAUGCUUUGAACCAACAGUCUUUUAGACGUGGUUGCGAGCUAAAGGAGUGCUGUUGUGCGCGUCCGAUCGGAUGUGCCUGAUGCAUUCGGCGAGCGACCCCCUUGAACCCAAGGUUCAAGAGAUGAUGGUCUGACGGCAUUCGCGGGGGGCUU